UUGCAACCUCCGCCUCCUGGGUUCAAGCAAUUCUCCUGCCUCAGCCUCCUGAGUAGCUGGGAUUACAGGCGCCCGCCACCACUCCCAGCUAAUUUUUGUAUUUUUAGUAGGGACGAGGUUUCACCAUGUUGGUCAGGCUGGUCUCAAACUCCUGACCUCGUGAUCUGCCCUCCUUGGCCUUCCAAAGUGCUGGGAUUACAGGCGUGAUGGAGAUGAUACUCCCUAAAUCACAAGGGUGUGGUGUGAAGAUGAAAUGGCUGCACGUGACAGAGGAGUUGGAGAACAGGAAGCAAGUGGAUUACUUGGAUGAACUGUGAUGGGCCCAAGAAGAACUAAGCCAAUCACUCCAGGGGGCGUUUUCCCAGGAUCCAGGCAGAGAGCUGAUUCCAGCAUCCACGUUGUAUCCCCCUCCCGCUGUGGCCGGGGUCUCCAAGAGCCGGGCACCCACUGCAGAGCUUCCAAGCCCAGGCCCAUUUGAACACAGGAGGACUUUUGAGGUUCAUUUAACCCCAAAAUCAGUGAUUCUACAUCUCAAGCUCAUAUUUUGAAGUGUUUACGGACCAGGGAUUUGCCAAUUAUUCUGGAUGGGCACAGGGAAGGGGCCCUCAGAUCCUGCAGAGGGAGCAUCUGAAAGACAAUGAGACCCUGUACACAACCAAGCUGAGCCUCCUCGUUGGUGCAUGCAUGGAUCCAGGAAGAGCAGGUAUUUGGACCCAACGAGACAGGUUCAUCUUGGCAGUUUGUCUCCUGUGGUUGCUUUGUGCCUGCCCCGUAUCUAUCCACCCAACUUCUGGCAGCAAUCCCUCCAGGACCCACCUCUGUCUUCAUGGUUUGUGUGUUCUGAUCCUGCUCCUUGGCCCCAGAAUACACCCUCCACAUCUAAGCUAUGCAGUGCCUCAUCCCCACAGCUGCAGCGAUUGGUUUAGGAAUGGGAAAAUAAUCCAAUCAAAGUAAGAUUGUCUAAUAUCUGAUCCCGCUUACCCCGGAGCCAGAAGUCCCACCUUUCCAGGCUCCUCCAUGUUCCUUUCUGGAGCAAUGAGGAGGAAGGUUCAUUCCCUUCUCAGGGAACUUGCUGCGGUGUCCCAGUCCUGACUGUCCCCUCUCUACCCCUGCCUGUGGCUCUCCCGUCUCCUGGCAUUCUAACCUGCCACUGAAUUCUUCCCACGCCAAACGCAGGUUAGGAACCUAAGCUCGGAUGAAAUGCUGGCUUAGACCUCAUUGCUACUGAGAAGCAGAAACCACACUUUUUAGUUGGUAGAGGUGGAUGUGGAUUGGGGCCAUAAAGUUUCCUCAAUCAUUGAAUAAGGAUUUCAUUAUUUGGACUAACUAAAUACAUUAGAUUAUUUAUACUAACUAAAUAAAUUAGAUUUAUUUUUCGAAGUUUAAAAUCAUUUUCAAUAGUGACGAAAAAGGCUGUAGAUGAGAUGGGAGAAUCUUUCGACGCCAAAUUCUUCCCAUCUCCUGCCUAGUAUGUAUCACUACACCUUGCCCAGAGAGACUGUAGGGGUGCUCAGCAAAAACCAUGGCUGGUUGAUUCCCUGGAAAAAGGGGUGCUGUCCCAGGGAGCUCUGUGCCCUUCCUGCCAACACUGGGGUCUAGAGGAGGCAAGUUCCCCUCUGAAGGUGAGUAUGAUUCACUCAUUAAAACUAAGAAAUUUACAUUGGUAUGUUACUGUUAACUAACCUACAGACUUUUUUUAGAUUUCACCGUUCUUUACACUCUCGUCCUUUCCAAUUUCCGGGAUCCAAUGCAGGAUACCAGAGAGGGAGCAGGUCUAGAGAAGAACCAGAGGAGCUCAGCUGAGAUAUGGUGUAUGGAUUGGAUUUUGGUAGAAGAUGGGAAGAACCAAACACCUGAGAAACCACUUUGAAGAUCGGGGUCAGAGUAAGGCCUAACACAUAGUUGGCUCCCAGUAAUUAUUGGUUGAUUGAACAGCUCAAAGAGCAACUCGACCAAGAACACUGGACUGGGAGUCCAGUUACUUGGAUCUUGCAUUCCUGAUUUAUUUUUAUUUUAUAUGUAUUUUUUCUAUUUUUUUGAGACGAAGUCUCACUCACUCUGUCGCCCAGGCUGGACUACAAUGGCACGAUCUCGGCUCACUGCAAACUCUGCCUCCCAGGUUCAAGCGAUUCUCCUGCCUCAGCCUCUCGAGUAGCUAGGAUUACAGGCAUGCACCACCACGCUGGCUAAUUUUUGUAUUUUUAGUAGAGACGGGGUUUUGCCAUGUUGGCCAUGCUGGUGUCCACCUCCUGACCUCAGUUGAUCUUCCUGCCUCAGCCUUCCAAAAUGUUGGGAUUACAGGCGUGAGCCACCGUGCCUGGCCGUGAUUUAUUUUUUUUGUGUAUGUUUGUUUUUGUCAACUUGCUGUGUGACCUUAAGCAAGUUACUUAACUUCUCUGGGCUUCACUUUCCAUGGAUGAACAUUGUAAAGAGGCUGGAGAGAGAUGAGGACUAGGUACAGGCUUUAGAGGAGAGCCACCGCCCCGGACUUCUCCCUCUGUCACCCCGCUUUCCAUGACCCUCCUUGCCUGACUUUGUGACUCCUUGCCUCGCUAUCAAAACAAGUGCUGCAAUCUCAGUGCUUUCCAAGAGCCCUGCAUUGUUAGAAACUUCCCAGCACGCAGCAAAGGCUGCUGCAAUACUCGCUCUGCCUGCCUUUGCCCUGCGCUUCCUACUUACCCUCCUUUUGUUUCUCCCAAACAUCUGUCCCUGACUAUGCUCAUCUCAUGUUUGUCCUCAGCUGCUGAAAGGGCCACGUUUGUUUUCAUUACAAAUAAGACCACCGAGUGGGCUCCUGGCGUGGGGGCGGGACCAGCCGCGCGCAGUCUUCAGAGGCAGCCCCCCAGGCUGUCUCUGGAGGGUGUGUCUCUGCUUCCCUUUCCCCGUGUUUAUUUUCAGACGAAGCCAAGUGGCCCGGGGGGACCCUCCGGACUCCCAGCCUUCAGAGAGGAGGGCAGCUCGGGCUUUCGCCGCAGUGCUUCCUGCCCGUCACGUGUGUGCUCCUAGCCGGGGUCGGGGGAGCUGGUAUCUUGGCCCUUCUGGGAGGACGCGCACAGCCCGAGGAGGCAGAGCCCCAGACGGGAAUGGGCUUUUCAGAGGUGGGGUGCGGGCGAGGGGACGAUGCAUUAUUUUUAAUAUUUGAUUUAUUUUUCCAACUGGACUUCUUCCCGGGGCUCUUUCUGGGCCCAGCUGCCUUUGUGAUCCCGCGCCCCGGUCCUCGGCCUCUCACCUCCAGCGCCGGGGCGCCCCCUGCUGUCGGAAGCGGCUGUGACCGGGCAGAGGUGCUAUCUGGGACUCUGGGUUCUCAGCCCGGGGACAGCGAACCGAGGGGCAGAUGAUCCAUCAGAAAAGAGCCGGCACUGCCCAGCCCCGCGCCCCUGCCCCUGCCUUUUUCCGGGAGCGCGCCGCGCCGCACCCGCUACGGCCGCUUGACCCCAUCUUUGAGCCCGGCCCCAAGCUCUGGGACCGUCGUGCCCCUCAUCAAGGAAGAGCCAAGGACCCCAAGGAGAAGAGAAAGGAGUUCAUGAAGGCAGAAAUGCCUGGGGCCCACGAACAUCCCAGUGUGGCCCUGGACGGGACAUCAUGCUGGGCAACACAGCUAAAAUGCGGGUGAAGACCAGAUUUCUUGCACAUGGCGGUGACGGGAUGCUCCCUAGAGAGCUUCAAGUGGAUUCUUUGCUUUUUAUUUUCUCUCUUAAUAAAAAUGUAUGAUGUUUACAUUGUCAGAGAACAAACAGA
rnacentral:lncRNA from 1 species